rnacentral:piRNA from 1 species
UCUGCAUUUAUCAGUAAGAAGGGAGGG